rnacentral:rRNA from 1 species
UACGUAGGGUGCGAGCGUUGUCCGGAAUUAUUGGGCGUAAAGGGCUCGUAGGCGGUUUGUCGCGUCGGGAGUGAAAACACCGGGCUUAACUCGGUGCUUGCUUUCGAUACGGGCAGACUAGAGGCAUGCAGGGGAGAACGGAAUUCCUGGUGUAGCGGUGAAAUGCGCAGAUAUCAGGAGGAACACCCGUGGCGAAGGCGGCUUCUCGUACG